UCUCAAAAAAUCAAGAGCCCCCAAGGACUAAGGCUCGGAGAUAAUACAAGAAUAUAUAAAGAAAGAAGGAUUGCAUUUCAUUAAAAAAGAACCUAGUAGUCUAGUUACAAAACUCGGCUAUGUAAAGAGCCGAACCGACCUUUGUGCCAAAAAAUAUACAUACAUGUACACGACUAUGACCUUAAGCUUCAAGAAUGGGACCAUCUUUGGC
rnacentral:lncRNA from 1 species